CUAGUAACGGCGAGUGAAGCGGCAACAGCUCAAAUUUGAAAGCUAGCCUUCGGGUUCGCAUUGUAAUUUGUAGAGGAUGAUUUGGGGAAGCCGCCUGUCUAAGUUCCUUGGAACAGGACGUCAUAGAGGGUGAGAAUCCCGUAUGUGACAGGAAAUGGCACCCUAUGUAAAUCUCCUUCGACGAGUCGAGUUGUUUGGGAAUGCAGCUCUAAAUGGGAGGUAAAUUUCUUCUAAAGCUAAAUAUUGGCGAGAGACCGAUAGCGCACAAGUAGAGUGAUCGAAAGAUGAAAAGCACUUUGGAAAGAGAGUUAAAAAGCACGUGAAAUUGUUGAAAGGGAAGCGCUUGCAAUCAGACUUGUUUAAACUGUUCGGCCGGUCUUCUGACCGGUUUACUCAGUUUGGACAGGCCAGCAUCAGUUUCGGCGGCCGGAUAAAGGCUCUGGGAAUGUGGCCUCCACUUCGGUGGAGGUGUUAUAGCCCAGGGUGUAAUACGGCCAGCCGGGACUGAGGUCCGCGCUUCGGCUAGGAUGCUGGCGUAAUG
rnacentral:rRNA from 1 species